rnacentral:rRNA from 1 species
GAACGCUGGCGGCGUGCCUAAUACAUGCAAGUCGAGCGAAUGAUAAGGAGCUUGCUCCUUGAUUAGCGGCGGACGGGUGAGUAACACGUGGGUAACCUACCCUAUAGACUGGGAUAACUUCGGGAAACCGGAGCUAAUACCGGAUAAUACUUCGAAACACAUGUUUUGAAGUUGAAAGAUGGUUUCGGCUAUCACUAUAGGAUGGACCCGCGGCGCAUUAGCUAGUUGGUGGGGUAAUGGCUCACCAAGGCAACGAUGCGUAGCCGACCUGAGAGGGUGAUCGGCCACACUGGGACUGAGACACGGCCCAGACUCCUACGGGAGGCAGCAGUAGGGAAUCUUCCACAAUGGACGAAAGUCUGAUGGAGCAACGCCGCGUGAAGUGAAGAAGGAUUUCGGUUCGUAAAACUCUGUUGCAAGGGAAGAACAAGUAGCGUAGUAACUGGCGCUACCUUGACGGUACCUUGUUAGAAAGCCACGGCUAACUACGUGCCAGCAGCUGC